GCUGGGCAUGGUGGCCUGCGCCUGUAGUCCCAGCUACUCGGAGGCUGAGGCAGGAGAAUUGCUUGAACCCAGGAGGCGGAGGUUGCGGUGAGCCGAGAUCGCGCCAUUGCACUCCAGCCUGGGUAACGAGCGAAACUCCGUCUCAAAAAAAAAAAAAAAAAAACUGGGUUGGUGUGUGCCUUUGAGAGCUUGAUACCAAUUGAUAAGGCUUUCUUUUUUUUUUUUUUGGAGCCUUGCUCAUUUGCCCAGGUUGGAAUGCAGUGGCACAGUCUCAGCUCACUGCAACCUCUGCCUCUAGGGUUCAAGCAAUUCUCCUGCCUCAG
rnacentral:sRNA from 1 species